rnacentral:rRNA from 1 species
ACGCUCGACACCUACGGGAGACAGCAGUCGGGAAUAUUGCGCAAUGGAGGAAACUCUGACGCAGUGACGCCGCGUAUAGGAAGAAGGUUUUCGGAUUGUAAACUAUUGUCGUUAGGGAAGAAAAAGGACAGUACCUAAGGAGGAAGCUCCGGCUAACUACGUGCCCGCAGCCGCGGUAAUCUGAGCGGGCUGGCAAGGC